UUUGACGUUACCUACAGAAGAAGCACCGGCUAACUCCGUGCCAGCAGCCGCGGUAAUACGGAGGGUGCGAGCGUUAAUCGGAAUUACUGGGCGUAAAGCGCAUGCAGGCGGCCUGUUAAGUCAGAUGUGAAAGACCCGGGGCGUUAACCUCGGAAUUGCAUUUGAAACUGGCAGGCUAGAGUCUUGUAGAGGGGGGUAGGAAUUUCAGGUGUAGCGGUGAAAUGCGUAGAGAUCUGAAGGAAUACCAGUGGCGAAGGCGGCCCCCUGGACAAAGACUGACGCUCAGAUGCGAAAGCGUGGGGAGCAAACAGGAUUAGAUACCCUGGUAG
rnacentral:rRNA from 1 species